GAUGAACGCUGGCGGCGUGCCUAAUACAUGCAAGUCGAGCGAACAGACGAGGAGCUUGCUCCUCUGACGUUAGCGGCGGACGGGUGAGUAACACGUGGAUAACCUACCUAUAAGACUGGGAUAACUUCGGGAAACCGGAGCUAAUACCGGAUAAUAUAUUGAACCGCAUGGUUCAAUAGUGAAAGACGGUUUUGCUGUCACUUAUAGAUGGAUCCGCGCCGCAUUAGCUAGUUGGUAAGGUAACGGCUUACCAAGGCAACGAUGCGUAGCCGACCUGAGAGGGUGAUCGGCCACACUGGAACUGAGACACGGUCCAGACUCCUACGGGAGGCAGCAGGAGGGAAUCUUCCGCAAGGGGCGAAAGCUUGACGGAGCAACGCCGCGUGAGUGAUGAAGGUCUUCGGAUCGUAAAACUCUGUUAUUAGGGAAGAACAAAUGUGUAAGUAACUAUGCACGUCUUGACGGUACCUAAUCAGAAAGCCACGGCUAACUACGU
rnacentral:rRNA from 1 species